GACGAACGCUGGCGGCGUGCUUAACACAUGCAAGUCGAACGAAGUGGCGAACGGGUGAGUAACGCGUAAUCAACCUGCCCUUCAGAGGGGGACAACAGUUGGAAACGACUGCUAAUACCGCAUACUGAAGGAGGGGAUCGCGUCUGAUUAGCUAGUUGGAGGGGUAACGGCCCACCAAGGCGAUGAUCAGUAGCCGGUCUGGGAGGAUGAACGGCCACGUUGGGACGGGGACACGGCUCAUACUCAUACGGGUGGCAGCAGGGGGGAAUCUUCCGCAACUGACGAAGGUCUGACGGAGCAACGCCGCGUGAGUGAUGAGGGCCUUCGGGUUGUAGAGCUCUGUUAAUCGGGACGCGGUACCGGAAGGGAAGGCCACGGCUAACUACGGGCCAGCAGCCGGGGUAAUUC
rnacentral:rRNA from 1 species